UCAAACGAACAGGGCCUUAGUGAC
rnacentral:siRNA from 1 species